rnacentral:lncRNA from 1 species
GGGAAGGGCAUCUCUGAAAGAAAGGCAGCAGCCCUAGUCAGGGGCUUAUAGAUAAAACUCCCAUCUCCCUGGGACAGAGCACCUGGGGGAAGGGGCAGCUGCAGGCACAGUUUCAGCAGACUUAAACGUUCCUCUCUGCCAGCUCUGAAGAGAGCAAUGGAUCUCCCAGCACAGCGCUCAAGCCCUGCUAAGGGACACACUGCCUUCUCAAGCAGAGAGGACUGGACCAGGCGUGGACCUCUGACCUACAAUAUCCAAGGCAUUAGGUUUUCCUGGUUCAUCACCUCCUUCAAUUGUAGAUGCUGCAGAUGCUGCCCUCUCUGUAGAGGUUUAAGUAAACAGGAAAGAAUGUUUAAUGAAAAUAAGGGGAACAAAGAAACCAUGUGGAGUAAAAGCAGAGAUGACACAUCAGGAGGCUACAAAUGAACAAUAAGUGAAACAUUAGUUCCUGGACCUCAAACCUUGAUGCCAGCAUUCAGGAGGCUUCCUAGGCAAGGAAGUAAAUUGGUGUGAGGUGACUGAACUGCAAGAUGAGGUGGAAUUUCAACAUUCAGGCUGCCCUCUCUGCAGAGGUUUAAGUAAACAGGAAAGAAUGUUUAAUGAAAAUAAGGGGAACAAAGAAACUAUGUGGAGUAAAAGCAGAGAUGACACAUCAGGAGGCCACAAAUGAACAAUAAGUGAAACAUUAGUUCCUGGACCUCAAACCUUCAUGCCAGCAUUCAGGAGGCUUCCUAGGCAAGGCCUGUCAGCUGUCCUAUUUCUUCCACUAGAUUUCUUUCUUUUGUUUUGUUUAAGCUAGUUUCAAU